UAUGUUUCUUAUUUGGAAAUUUAAGAACAAAACUAUGUUACUUUUAACUUGAGAAUACAAAUCUUUUAGAAUUUCCACAGGAAAACACACAAAGUUAACAGUGAUAAAUAAAUGUGAAUUUAUUAUUCUCAGGAACUCUUUUGGUAUGUCUUUUUCUUUUCUCUGUGUUUCUCUUUGGUUUGUCAAGUGAGUGAACAAAUAAGUCGAUUCACACAGUCUCAACAGUAUUAAUCACAAUAACCAUUAUAAUCAAAAAGAAAGGGGAAAAAUAAAGAAAAAUAAAUAAAUAAACCCAAUGUCAAUGAAAUGCUCUGGUUAUACUCGGAUUUCACCUCAGUAUUACCCAGCUGGGAUUUGAAGUACACCGUUGGCGCGCUAGUUGGAGCUCUUUCGAUGGGAAAAACUGUACUCACGAAUCCGGGAGAACUAGAUUUCACUUGCGGAAUAAUAAUCGUUGACCCUCAAUGCACGAUGAGCUGAAAAGCACGGCCUCCGUGACGCCUCCCGUCUGGAACAGGUGUAGUAUGCAUCUGCUGUUGCCUACUGGAUGUAGUGUCCUAAUAGUCCAAUAAAAAAGGCAAUGGACGAAAGAUGUACAACUCGGGCUGGAACCAACAAACAACUACUUACAACGCAUUCAUUAUAUCUUGAUAACGAAGGCUUUCAGGAAACACCUGCAAAACUGGCAAGUACAUAAGGCACUCCCUUCUUUAAAUUGUUCAUUGUUCGCUAAGUUUACGAUUUUAUGAUUAUCAGUAAACCCAUCCCCGAUUCACUGUUUUGUGGUAGAGCUUCACCUCAACUGUGGUUUUUUUUUCAGUUUCAUAGCAAAACCUAAUAUUUUUAGUAUUGAUUUUCAAUAACUUUUUUGUUUACUCCAAUUGAGAGAGUUUGUCCUUCACUGCUCUGUUGUAGUUCUUGACACCAACUGUGCUUUUAUAGUUUAAUAGCCAAACAUAAUGUUUCAGUUACAUUUUUUGUUAACUUCAAAAGGUUUUUCACUUGGUGUAAUUCUUGACACUGAGGUAUUAUAGCCAUAAGACAACCUAAUUGUGCUGAUGUCUCAAAUUAGCUCAUUUAUAUAUGAUUAAUAACAUUAAUACAUCUUGAAAGAGAAAAUACUAGCUUUCAAGUACCUGCAUUAAGAAGAGUAAGAAAUAUCAUUUAUUUUGAAAAAGCAUAUAUAAAAUAAUAGAUUUAAAAGCAACAUAACACUCACCAGAUAAACUGUUACAUUUCCAACCAGAAUACAUACCUUCAUAUUCACUUGUCUUUGGACCUUGUUCCUUCACUUCUUCCUUUCCACAUUGUUGUUUUUCCUAUUAAAAGUGUGAAAGACUUUCAUUUUAAUCUAGAAUCUUCACAGGAGGAGCAAAUCUCUCAAAUACUGCAUGUUUAAAAUUGUACUGUGAUUGUCAUUACGUGGAGGUCAAAAUGCAAAAGUUAACAUUAUUGCCAAAAUGAUUAGGACAUGCUUAUUAAUCCCCACUAGGCCAGGACUUGAAAGUGAUCAGUAGUAUCAUUAGCUUUCUCCUUUUUACUGCCAACUGUGGCAAAUAGCUGCUUAAAGAAUGAUGAGGCAGUGCUUUUGUUUAAUGCCUACCUAACACAUUUUAAACUUUUUCCUUAAAUAUUGUCUGUGUUGAUUAAAAUCAUAAUGUUACCAACUACAUGUGAUGGCAGUAAAUUCAGAAGAUAGAAUUUAUAUUAUCCUUAAUGAACGGUAAAAAAUACUAUUAAGUUUUGUUGCUCUUAUGAAUUGAUUUUUAAAAAAUACAAUGACUUUACACCUCACACAUUACAGUGUCUACAGAUUCUUAGCUAGAUUAUUUUAGUUCUUUAGUAGUUUCCUUAAUUUUCCAAUAUAUUUCAUUGUUGCAAUAUUGAAUUCAAAGAGUAUUACC